GCAUUUGGAGAGAGACUACAACUGAAAGCUUUUUGGGUUUUGAAGAAGAUGCAGAACGCAAAUGAAAUGGAAACCCCUAUAAGAAACUUGAAAGAAUAAAGUAACUUGCUGCAACAGAGGCCUUAGAAAAAGUGAUUUCUACACAAGUCAAGUUAUUUCUGGAUGAUUGCUGCUAUGGCUCUUCCGCCUCCUGAUCCAGAGUUUGUAUUGCGAGGAACUGCAGCUCCAGUCCACACUCUACACUUUUCCUGCAGAGGCCAAGAACCUGAGUUUCCUAUUCUCUUCUCUGGGUCUGCCAAUGGUCUGGUCCAGAUCUGGAACCUGAAAACACAUAGGGUGGACAAGACAAUGGAUGGUCAUGGAGGAAAAUCUGUAUACUGGGUGGAGACGAUACAUGGCAGAGAUGGGCUCCUCAGCCAGGGUCGUGAUCAGAAGAUCUGCCUCUGGGAUUUGGCAGAAGGAAGGAACGUGGUGACAGAUUCCAUUUCCGUGGAUAGUGUGGGAUUCUGCAGAUGCUCGCUGCUGAAGGUGGCUCAGGACCGUUGGCUAAUAGCCAUGCCAGCAAAUGACCCAGAUGAGGUUCAGGUUUUGGAGCUUCCAUCCAAGACAUCAGUCUGUACCUUGAAGCCAGAGGCAGGUGCCAAACUGGGCAUGCCCAUGUGUCUGAAGCUAUGGCAGCCUGGCUUUGGGGCAUGUCCUUUCCUUAUGGCUGGCUAUGAGGAUGGAUCCGUGAUCCUAUGGAAUUUAUCAAUGGGAAAAAUGUUGAGUCGGCUUGCUUGCCACCAGGAGCCAGUGAUGAGCCUUGACUUUGACUCGGAGAAGGCCAAGGGGGUCUCGGGUUCAUCUGAGAAGGUGCUUAGCGUCUGGAGCCUCGAUGAACAGCAGAACUUAAAGGUUCACAAAACACAUGAACUCAUCAAUUCUGGGAUCUCUGAUGUUACCAUCCGUCAGGACAGGAAGAUACUGGCAACGGCAGGGUGGGAUUAUCACAUCAGGAUCUUUGGCUGGAAGAAAGUGAAACCAUUGGCAGUGCUGGACUACCAUACUGCAACCGUCCACUGUGUGGCCUUCUCAGAUCACAGCAGGCCUAGUGAAAGACUUCUGGCAGCUGGCUCCAACGACCAGCGCAUUAGUAUCUGGUCACUGUACAAUCAAACAUGAGAGGUGCUUGCUUAUCCUGUGGACUGAAAAAAACAGAUUAAAACAGUUCCUGGAAUAUGAUGAAAAACUGGAGCUAAAAUCUGCUGGGGGUGGGGGGUAGGCAUGGGGUUCAAGGUGCCAGAAGAUGAAUUCUUCUACUGCUUGUUUGCUAUGGAAAAUUAAAUUGGAGAGGAGAGUUAAUGUCAAAAAGGGAAAAAAGGAUCACCCUGUAGUUUUGACAUGGGAAUCGUGGCAGUCUAGGGCUCUGCUAUGGGCCGUGCCACGGAGCUCCGCUGGUACGUUCUUUGUCAGCUGCCCCAUCCGCACAAUGGAUACUGCACCUAUCUUGCAGGAAUGCUGUGGGGCUAGAAUGGAUCCAUUUAUACAUCUUAUGUGCAUCCAGGAGUCUCAGAUUUCAGCUGACUCAUUUGCUCUCACAGAGCGAAGAACCACCUUAAGCUGGUAAAGUCAGACCUGGAAUCUCACCUGUUGGAGAGGAACAGGGCGAGCCUGUACCUGGCCUAAAGGAUUCAGGAGUGAAGCAUCUUCUAGCUGAGGAUCUCAAGACACCAAGUAACUUCACGAAGACUCGGACUGCCAUGUGAGGUCCUGUAAGGGUAGGAUAAGAGUAGCCUUUUGAUCACCAGGAAACUGAAGCGCGCAGGAGCUGAGCGACUUCAUAAAUGCCUCACAGCAAAUCAUCAGCAAAGCUCAGACUAAGAGAUUUCUUGUUCCCUGCCCUAACCGUGAGAUCACACCUCUUCUGUAAGGCAAAGCCGGAAGACAGAAAAUCAUUACUAUGGCUGAUCAGACCAAGUUGCCACGAUGGUGUUUGUAUUUCAUUUGCUCCAAAAGUGUUUACAUAAUGUUAUCACAUAAUGGGAUUAGUUGGGCUGAAGCAUUUGCUUCCUGGAGAGGGAGAGGUUGAUGCUGUUGCAGUUUAGUUGCAUUCACCCCGCCUGCUUAAAAAAAAAAUCUUGGAGCCAUUGGACCCAAAGAAGUGACCCCUAUAUAUUUAAUACAUGUCUGAGGAGCUUGGUGCUAACCAUUUAGCUGCUAUUGGGUUCUUUCCCCUCAAUACCAUCCAUCAUGGAACCUUUGGCACUUUAAUGUAUUAUUAAACCACAUAGCUGGGAUUUUCGCAACAUAAUCUCUGAAUUGUGAAUGCUUUGCCCAUAUGAUUAAUAGUGUGAAAUAUAUCUGUGCAUGUGUUACCAGCAUUAUGAUGUGUAAUGCUUUAGUCUGAUUUUGCUCAGAGGAACCAAUGUGCAGAUUAGUAUUAGAGAUCAAAAUGCAUAUGGGGGGUGAUAUAAAAAGCCUAAAAAUGGGCAUAGUUCCCAAAAUAAACUAAUUUUACAAUGUCCGAGGAGGUACCAGAUUCUGAAUGCACUUCUGAUGGAAAGAGGAAGAGUGGGGCGAUAAAGAUGACCAGCAAAAGGGUUUGUUUUGGAAGACAGUAAUGCAUCUGUCCCUGUACACUUACAAACUAAAGCUCUUCAUUGUCAUAGCCACAGGCUCGCUUUAUUUUAAGUUUUGAAACAUAUGAGAAUAUGACACAAAUAGUAAUCUGGGUAAAGGCUUUUAGAAACCAUAUGAAUAUACUGGAUCCUGUCAUCAUGCUAAAUCUCUGCUGGCCUAAGAAACUUCCACAAUUGCUGCAGUGUUGGAAGCAAUGGCCAUUUUGAAUUUCUCAGCAGUGCUAGAGGCAGAAUUCAGACAUCCCUGCCCCUAAACGCACAGGCCAAGCUACUUGCCCUAAAAAAGAGUCUCAAUGACAUAUUGAAGCUAUAACACAUACUUGAGAAGUUCUGGCUCCUCCCAAGAGAAAACAGUGGUAAUAGGCCUCUAUCCAGUCUAUUGCACUGAUAAGCACUGUCAGUCAGUCAGUAAUUAGCAAUGAUGUGCUUUUGUGUUUACAAUCAGGAACACACUUAGACGUUCAAAAUUAGCAGCGUCUUUUUCUCUUAACAGCAGAUGGACACUGUAGGACAGUCUGUUCUGGUAGAGCAUUGACAACUAUUUGUGGCCAGCCUCAGCAGUUGCACAGAUUAGCCCAACAAGCAGAAGUAACCCAUGGGACUGUGAGUUCAGCGUAUUGUAUGCUGAAAAGUUCAAAUCGGGCUCAGUCCUCUGCUCCAUGCUGCUUUUUCUCAUGCAUGCACAGGAAUGAUCCCCAGUCAUUUGUGGCAGCAUCUGCUGUAGGGCUCUGCUGGCAUUGGUAGGAGGUGAGAUUAAGGUGCUGGUUUGACAUGACAAUACUGAACUUGCUAGGGGAUGUGUACAUGGCCUCCCUCAAGAGUAAGCACAAGGAGCGCAAUUCCUGGUGUGCAGUCCCAGCUGGAUUCCCACCUAAGCUGUUUUUAACAUACUGCCUCUUGUGAGCAUUGCCCCUUCAGAUUGCAUUUUAUCUUGGCUUUUUAUGGCAUGCCAAGUCUUUUCCAUGGCAUGCUAUGGCAUCAAGUUGAAUAGAGACGCAACGUCUUUCAAGUUAUCCCUUGAGCCCAUCUGCUUGGAAGCAGCUCCCGACAAGCAGGAAAGGGAAUUGAAUCAAAGCUUCGUCAUGUUGGCUGAAAUAAGAGCUGCGUGAGGCUGGGCUGGAAAAACCAGGCUGCAGGAAAGGCUUCCCCCAGGCCACAUGCUGGAGGCUUACAUGGGAGCAGACCGGGUGGGUGUGUCCUGCCUCUUCCUGACCCCAUCGAAUGCAACAGGAUUUGCUUGCUUGGUUUAACUACCAGCACUGCUGGGGUGUGCGGGGGGAGAGGGGCAGGGAAUGCUGUUACAGCUCUGACCAGUAGCGGGGCAAUAAGCACGGGACAAGCCAGCGCAAGGCAAGAAGGUUUUUCUAUUAUCACCCAGGCUUAGCGUCGCAGCUAAGCCCAUGUAAAGCUCAAUAGUGUAAGCCCCCUCGUACAGGCCUUUCCAUUGAUUGAGCAUGGGGCUUGUUCUAGCUUACCUGGAGAUGGCUGUUCACAGCCAAGCAGGCCGAGGCUGUCAAGGCAGAUGGGAAUGUUCAUUUUGCAGGUGGCUAGAAUAAAGCAGAAGGCUCAAAUCCGCUCUCCUGCCAGGCAAGCUGCAGUCCUGCGUCACAGCUGCCUCCGCUGAGAUGAGGUUUUAGUGAUGAGCAGCCCCCACACAUCCCUCAGCUGGCUGCCGCCCAAAGUAGAAGGGCUUCAGUGCAGUGUUGGGUAGGGACCCAAAACAAGAGCCCUAAACCCCCGAGGAAGCACCCAGACCCAUUAUUCACACAGCAGCUGCAAACUGGCAGGGGAGCCAUGCCAUGCACAGAAAUGAAUCCAUCCCUGAGUCCCACACAGUCCUGCAAGGGGCUGAGCCUGCUGGCCCCAGUUGACAGCAAGUCCAUCCUGUACAUUAAGCACCUGCUGCUGCUGUUGCGUUGGGGCCAGCCUUAGCUCAGCCAGGUCUGGAUCAUUUUCACAGCAAGGGCAACCAAAUAUGGGUGGAGGGUGGGUAGCACUGAACUCAAAUGAGCAGCAGACCCACAGGCUGAUGUGGUCUGGAAGGCAGGCUGGCUGGUGGAGUUGUAUCUCAUGGGUGUGAUGUGAAGCUUAACAUGCGACUUUAAGAUGUACUGAAUGCAAAUCAUUAGGCAAGUUCUACUGCUUUCCACCCCACAGCAUCCAAGCCUGACAGUGCUUCACAUACAAAUCACUCUUCCACAUGCCUGGAAAAGCUGUAGACAGGACCCUGGCAGACUGAGUCCCCCCAAAUGGCAAUUUUCUCGGUUGUGGCCUCACUUCUUUAGUAGUGAGAGGCCACCCUCUCACUAAAUUGCUACAGUUAGUGUCAGUAGGCAUGAGUGAUGUAUUGUAAUUAUUUUAUUGUGGCUGCUCUUUAGAAGGUUUUUUUUUUGUAAUCUGGAAAUGUAUCUAACUUCCCACAUGGAAAGAAAUCAUUUAUCAUACUUUACACAGAGGUAUUUGGCUAACUCUCUUGCACAUCUAUGCAAAGCAUAUUAUAUACACAAGGCUAAAUUUGAUAAAAAGGAUAUAAAUUGUGCUAUAUGAAGUAUAUUACACAACUGUGUGUGCCUAAUUUAUAAACUCUAGCAUCUUUGGCACAUUUAAAAUGGGUCAUUUCUAUUAUUUUAGGAGGAGGAAUAUGGAUUUUAGGCAUAGAUAAUUAUACGUAGCGCUGUGGAAGAAGCUAUCACACAUGUGCAUUAAUUUCAAAGGUGUUGUGUCUGUAGCUUGCGUAUUCCCUGUUGCAAAAACAUUUAAAAAACUGGUUUCUUUUGCCUGUAACAGGACUUUACAUCAGUUAUAUGUGCGUUCCAUUAGAAUAAAGGAGCUGUUCUCAGUAUACUGAUUUAUUUUAUUGCAU